rnacentral:lncRNA from 1 species
GCUCAGGGCUUCUCCUCUUCCUCCGACGCGGGGCGGCUGCCCAGACAUCCCCGCCUCUAGGUCUGGAGAACUCCCGAAACCGCCCGCGGAGUAGAGCGAGGCCGGGAGUCUGGCGGUCCCCAAGGCGCUCUUUGUCGUGGAGACGCGGGGACUAGACCCUGGGAUGAGCGGAGGAGGGCGGCGCGGGCACUGACGCGAGUUGGGACCAGGACAACCCGCCGCUGGCAGGGGGAUGCGCCAGCCCCGGCAGACAACCUAACGGGGUGCACGCGCCAGGCGGAGCGCGCAGGUGGGACUGCGCUCUCCGUGGUCCGCCCCGCGCGGGUCCCCUGCUGGCCGGAGGAUGGGCACUGGUGCCCCAGGGCUGCGCCCGCCGCUGCUGCCCCCACCGCGAGCCCGGCG